CCUACGGGGGGCAGCAGUGGGGAAUAUUGGACAAUGGGGGCAACCCUGAUCCAGCCAUGCCGCGUGUGUGAAGAAGGCCCUCGGGUUGUAAAGCACUUUCAGUGAGGAAGAACGCCUGCUGGUUAAUACCCAUCAGGAAAGACAUCACUCACAGAAGAAGCACCGGCUAACUCCGUGCCAGCAGCCGCGGUAAUACGGAGGGUGCGAGCGUUAAUCGGAAUUACUGGGCGUAAAGCGCGCGUAGGUGGCUUGAUAAGCCGGUUGUGAAAGCCCCGGGCUCAACCUGGGAACGGCAUCCGGAACUGUCAAGCUAGAGUGCAGGAGAGGAAGGUAGAAUUCCCGGUGUAGCGGUGAAAUGCGUAGAGAUCGGGAGGAAUACCAGUGGCGAAGGCGGCCUUCUGGACUGACACUGACGCUGAGGUGCGAAAGCGUGGGUAGCAAACAGGAUUAGAUACCCCAGUAGUC
rnacentral:rRNA from 1 species